rnacentral:rRNA from 1 species
CAACCUGGUUGAUCCUGCCAGUGGUAUAUGCUUGUCUCAAGGACUAAGCCAUGCAAGUGCCAGUAUGAGUGAUCCAUACAACGAAACUGCGAAUGGCUCGGUAAAACAGUUAUAAUUUAAUCAGGGAACUAACUACCGGAUAACCGUAGUAAUUCUAGAGCUAAUACGUAUAUACCCCGGCAAAGCUAUACGCCAUGCCCGUACGAAUUAGAUAAAAACCAACUUUUGUUGGCGAUUCAUGAAUCUUUAUUGAAUUCUCACUUUGUGAGGAUCCCCUGAUUAAAUUUCUGACCUAUCAACUUGAUGGUAAGGUAGAGUCUUACCAUGGUUGUGACGGGUAACGGACCGUGGGUGCGGGAUUCCGGAGAGGGAGCCUGAGAAACGGCUACCACAUCCAAGGAAGGCAGCAGGCGCGCAAAUUACCCAUUCCGGACACCGGGAGGUAGUGACAAAAAAUAUCAAUAGUGGGCCCUUUGGGCUCGCUAAUUGGAAUGAGUGCCACCUAAAACAACACACAGAGAAACCAGCAGAGGGCAAGUCUGGUGCCAGCAGCCGCGGUAAUUCCAGCUCUGUAAGCGUAUACCAAAGUUGUUGCAGUUAAAACGCUCGUAGUCGAAUUUUGACGGUUUCGUCGUAGUACCGCCCACGGGACAGGUAAGUGCGACAGCCGUCUUUGUGGUUAGAGCUUCACGGGGCUUCAUUGUUCCGUCGUUGUUCUGCCACAGUUUACUGUGAAAAAAUCAGAGUGUUCAAAGCAAGCUUAUAUAUAUUUAUAUAUAUAUUGUCCUGAAUAAAUUAGCAUGGAAUAAUAGAAUAGGACCUGGUUCUAUUUUGUUGGUUUUAAAAUCCCAGGUAAUGAUUAACAGGGACGGUCGGGGGCACUUGUAUUACAGGGUUAGAGGUGAAAUUCUUAGAUCCUUGUAAGACAAACAGCUGCGAAAGCGUCUGCCAAGGACGUUUUCAUUGAUCAAGAACGAAAGUAAGGGGAUCGAAGACGAUCAGAUACCGUCGUAGUCUUUACUAUAAACGAUGAGGACUGGGGAUCGGACGUUACCAAAACGGUACGUUCGGCACCCUCCGAGAAAUCAAAGUAUUUGCUUUCUGGGGGGAGUAUGGUCGCAAGUCUGAAACUUAAAGGAAUUGACGGAAGGGCAUCACCGGGUGUGGAGCCUGCGGCUUAAUUUGACUCAACACGGGAAAACUCACCAGGUCCAGACAUAGCUAGGAUUGACAGACUGAGAGCUCUUUCUUGAUUCUAUGGUUGGUGGUGCAUGGCCGUUCUUAGUUGGUGGAGUGAUCUGUCUGGUUAAUUCCGUUAACGAGCGAGACCCGGGCACAUAUGAUAGACGUCACUAAUUCCAAAUUUUUAUUUGGGUAGUGUGGCAGUCUUCCUUGAUGGACUGCAGACGACUAGUCUGUGGAAGCUCCGGGCAAUAACAGGUCUGAGAUGCCCUUAGAUGUUCUGGGCCGCACGCGUGCUACAAUGAGUGGACCAACGAGCUAGGGAUUGCGAAAGCACUACCUAAUCUCUAAAGUCACUCGUAAUGGGGAUUGAGGCUUGCAACUUUCCCUCCUGAACGAGGAAUACCUUGUAGGCGUGGGUCAUCAUCCCGCGCCGAAUACGUCCCUGCCCUUUGUACACACCGCCCGUCGCUCCUACCGAUUGAGUGGUCCGGUGAGGCCUUGGGAGAGUCGAGUUGUCAGUUUUCACUGAAGCUUGACUCGAACUUGGUCAAACCUUAUCACUUAGAGGAAGGAGAAGUCGUAACAAGGUUUCCGUAGGUGAACCUGCAGAAGGAUCAAGCU